UGUAGCUCAGUGGCAGAGUACUUGCCUAGCAUGCAUGAGGCACUGAGUUUGAUUCUCAGCA
rnacentral:tRNA from 1 species